rnacentral:rRNA from 1 species
UACAGAGGGUGCAAGCGUUAAUCGGAAUUACUGGGCGUAAAGCGUGCGUAGACGGUUAUGUAAGUCGGGUGUGAAAGCCCCGGGCUCAACCUGGGAAUUGCAUUCGAGACUGUGUAGCUAGGGUACGGAAGAGGGAAGCGGAAUUUCAGGUGUAGCGGUGAAAUGCGUAGAUAUCUGAAGGAACACCAGUGGCGAAAGCGGCUUCCUGGUCCAGUACCGACGUUCAGGCACGAAAGCGUGGGGAGCAAACCGG